rnacentral:rRNA from 1 species
UACGGAGGGAGCUAGCGUUGUUCGGAAUUACUGGGCGUAAAGCGCACGUAGGCGGCUUUUGUAAGUUAGAGGUGAAAGCCCGGAGCUCAACUCCGGAAUUGCCUUUUAAGACUGCAUCGCUUGAAUCCAGGAGAGGUGAGUGGAAUUCCGAGUGUAGAGGUGAAAAUUCGUAGAUAUUCGGAGGAACACCAGUGGCGAAGGCGGCUCACUGGUCCAUUACUGACGCUGAGGUGCGAAAGCGUGGGGAGCAAACAGG